rnacentral:rRNA from 1 species
ACGUAGGGGGCAAGCGUUAUCCGGAAUUAUUGGGCGUAAAGAGUGCGUAGGUGGUUUUUUAAGCGUGAGGUGAAAGGCAAUAGCUUAACUAUUGUAAGCCUUGCGAACUGGAAGACUUGAGUGCAGGAGAGGAAAGUGGAAUUCCUAGUGUGGGUUUGGAAUGCGUAGAUAUUAGGAGGAGCAACGGUGGCGAAGGCGACAUACUGGACUAUAUCGGCCAGUGCGGCGUGAGAGCGUGUGCCGCAAACAU